rnacentral:lncRNA from 1 species
GUGCAAUGAGAAAAUGGUGUUGCACUUGUCAAUUGCACAAGUCGAUCUCUAAAUAUGCAAUGACAAGUAUUUAGGGAUGCAAGCGAACAAUCCAUGAUGCCCGCGAAGGUGAAAAUAAGCUAAUCACUUUUGCUUUAAAAGCCAAGCUAAUACAAAAACCAUCAAUGCAGACACUUCUGCUUUAAAAGCCGAGCUAAUACAAAAACCAUCAAUGCGGACAUUCGCAGACGCAUCCACCUGCGUCCCUACAAGGAUUGCUAAGCGGAUUGGGAUCCUCAUAUGUUCGGUCCAGAGCACAGACUAGAGUCUGGUCGUAUUAUCAUGCUACUCAGAAUUCAG